CCUACGGGAGGCAGCAGACGAGAAUAUUCGACAAUGGGCGAAAGCCUGAUCGAGCGACGCCGCGUGAUGGAUGAAGUCCUUCGGGACGUAAACAUCUUUUAUGCGUGAGAAAGUUAUUGAUGUUAGCGCAUGAAUAAGGGGCUCCUAACUCUGUGCCAGCAGGAGCGGUAAUACAGAGGCCCCAAGCAUUAUCCGGAAUCACUGGGCGUAAAGGGUGUGUAGGCGGUCGUGUUAGUCUUUCGUGAAAGAUCUCGGGCUUAACCCGGGAGACGCGGGGGAAACGGCACGACUUUGAGGACGCGAGAGGUAGAGGGAACUCAUGGUGUAGGGGUGAAAUCCGUUGAUAUCAUGGGGAACACCAAAUGCGAAGGCACUCUACUGGCGCGCUCCUGACGCUGAAACACGAAAGCGUGGGAAUCGAACGGGAUUAGAUACCCCGGUAGUCCACGCCCUAAACGAUCCUAACUGGCUAUAAGGAGUAUCGACCCUCUUUGUGGCGAAGCUAACGCGUUAAGUUAGGCGCCUGGGUAGUACGAUCGCAAGAUUAAAACUCAAAUGAAUUGACGGGG
rnacentral:rRNA from 1 species